rnacentral:tRNA from 1 species
AUUUAUAUAGUUUAAAAUAAAACAUUACGUUUUCACUGUAAAAAAAAUACAAAUUGUAUUUAUAAAUA